rnacentral:rRNA from 1 species
GCGUGUGUGAAGAAGGCCUGCGGGUUGUAAAGCACUUUCAGUGGGGAAGAAAAGCCUGGGGCUAAUACCGCCGGGUCUUGACGUUACCUACAGAAGAAGCACCGGCUAACUCCGUGCCAGCAGCCGCGGUAAUACGGAGGGUGCAAGCGUUAAUCGGAAUUACUGGGCGUAAAGCGCGCGUAGGCGGUCUGUUAAGUCAGAUGUGAAAGCCCUGGGCUUAACCUGGGAACUGCAUUUGAUACUGGCGGGCUAGAGUAUGGUAGAGGGAAGUGGAAUUCCGGGUGUAGCGGUGAAAUGCGU